rnacentral:rRNA from 1 species
CAAGCCCGUGUGAAGCCCUUUCGACGAGUCGAGUUGUUUGGGAAUGCAGCUCCAAAUGGGUGGUAAAUUUCAUCUAAAGCUAAAUAUCUGUCAGAGACCGAUAGCGCACAAGUAGAGUGAUCGAAAGAUGAAAAGCACUUUGAAAAGAGAGUCAAACAGUACGUGAAAUUGUUGAAAGGGAAGCGCUUGCAACGAGACUCGUUCGCGGGUGUUCAGCCGUCCCCCGGGGCGGUGCACUCUCCCGCGUUUCGGGCCAGCAUCGGUUUCGGCGGCCGGACAAAGGCCCCGGGAACGUAGCUCUCUCCGGAGAGUGUUAUAGCCUGGGGUGCAAUGCGGCCAGCUGGGACCGAGGAUCGCGCAUUCGCUAGGAUGCUGGCGUAAUCGUUGUCAGCGACCCGUCUUGAAACACGGACCAAGGAGUCGACCAAUCUGGCAAGUUUUAGGGCGUAAACCCCUGAAGCGCAAUGAAAGUGAACGUAGGUGGGAGCCUUCGGGUGCACCAUCGACCGAUCCUGAUGUCUUCGGAUGGAUUUGAGUAUGAGCCCGGCUGGUCGGACCCGAAAGAUGGUGAACUAUGCGUGAAUAGGGUGAAAGCCAGAGGAAACUCUGGUGGAGGCUCGCAGCGGUUCUGACGUGCAAAUCGAUCGUCAAAUUUGCGCAUAGGGGCGAAAGACUAAUCGAACUAUCUAGUAGCUGGUUCCCGUCGAAGUUUCCCUCAGGAUAGCAGCAACGAAAACAGUCUCAUGAGGUAGAGCAAACGAUUAGAGGUCUUGGGGUUGUAUUC